rnacentral:lncRNA from 1 species
UUGCUUAAGUCUCUUUGGCUUGGAGAUGAUGACCUUGAAGAAUCCCUAGCACAGACUGGCAUUUCACUUCCAAACUGCAAAAUCACAAAUUUGUAAGCAAGGAAUAUUAUCAAAAGAAUAUUAGGAUUUCUUCUUCUUCUUCUUCUUUUGAGCAAGUAAUUAGAGAUCUGGAUUGAUUUUUCAGAAUUAUUCUAGAUAUAUAGCAUGAUAAUUCUUCCACAGUAGGCCAAUUCUCAAUUUCUUUCAAGGCUGCUUUUAUUGAAACAUGAAAAAAAAUCCCCUUUUUGUCAAGAUUACUGACUGCACGCUCAUAGUCUUUGGUAAUAUAACUGCUCAUGGGUGCCAUGAUUUUCACAUGGAAUGAUCAAUUUCACUUCACCGAAACAUGAAAAUAUCAAAUACAUGGACCUUUUCAUCAAAUGAGAACUAUAGGUGCAGCAAUUGAAGAGAAAACUUCAACUCCUAGCAUGCAUCUAACCAUUAAUUCCUUCGAAAAUUCAAAAGGAGUUCACCAAUCUUUUAUUUAAAACAAAAAGAAGGAAAAUUCAGAUGGAGAAUUAAACCAUAAUACAAAGGCCAAGAGAUUAGAAGAAGAAGCAGCACCUUUCCAAUCUCUCCACUCUCUUCAUCCCCAACACACUUGACCUUCGUGUCCUCUUCGGCAACAAAAUUUCUCUCAAGCAUCACUUCCAUUGAAGGCAAACCCACGGUCGCCCUUCCUAAUUCCC